GGGUCGUUAGCUCAGUUGGUAGAGCAGUUGACUUUUAAUCAAUUGGUCGCAGGUUCGGAAUCCUGCACGACCCACCA
rnacentral:tRNA from 2 species